rnacentral:rRNA from 1 species
CCUACGGGAGGCUGCAGUGAGGAAUAUUGGGCAAUGGGCGCAAGCCUGACCCAGCAACGCCGCGUGAAGGAAGGAGGCUUUCGGGUUGUAAACUUCUUUUGACAGGGAAGAGUAGAAGACGGUACCUGUCGAAUAAGCCACGGCUAACUACGUGCCAGCAGCCGCGGUAAUACGUAGGUGGCAAGCGUUGUCCGGAUUUACUGGGUUUAAAGGGCGUGUAGCCGGGUUGACAAGUCAGAUGUGAAAUCCGGCGGCUUAACCGCAGAACUGCAGUUGAAACUGUUGAGCUUGAGUACUGGUGAGGCAGACGGAAUGCGUAGUGUAGCGGUGAAAUGCGUAGAUAUUAGGAGGAACACCAGUGGCGAAGGCGGUCUGCGGGACAGCAACUGACGGUGAGGCGCGAAAGCGUGGGGAGCAAACAGGAUUAGAUACCCUGGUAGUC